rnacentral:rRNA from 1 species
AGUUUGAUCCUGGCUCAGAACGAACGCUGGCGGCAGGCUUAAGACAUGCAAGUCGAGCGCACCUUCGGGUGAGCGGCAGACGGGUGAGUAACGCGUGGGAACCUACCUUUCGGAUCGGAAUAACUUCGGGAAACCGAAGCUAACACCGGAUACGCCCUUUGGGGGAAUGAUUUAUCGCCGAGAGAUGGGCCCGCGUUGGAUUAGCUUGUUGGUGGGGUAACGGCCCACCAAGGCGACGAUCCAUAGCUGGUCUAAGAGGAUGAUCAGCCACACUGGGACUGAGACACGGCCCAGACUCCUACGGGAGGCAGCAGUCAGGAAUAUUGGACAAUGGGGGCAACCCUGAUCCAGCCAUGCCGCGUGAGUGAUGACGGCCUUAGGGUUGUAAAGCUCUUUCGCCGGUGAAGAUAAUGACGGUAACCGGUAAAGAAGCCCCGGCUAACUUCGUGCCAGCAGCCGCGGUAAUACGAAGGGGGCUAGCGUUGUUCGGAAUUACUGGGCGUAAAGCGCACGUAGGCGGACACUUAAGUCAGAGGUGAAAUCCCGGAGCUCAACUUCGGAAUUGCCUUUGAUACUGGGUGUCUCGAGUCCGA